rnacentral:rRNA from 1 species
GACGAACGCUGGCGGCGUGCUUAACACAUGCAAGUCGAACGGAAAGGCCCUGCUUUUGUGGGGUGCUCGAGUGGCGAACGGGUGAGUAACACGUGAGUAACCUGCCCUUGACUUUGGGAUAACUUCAGGAAACUGGGGCUAAUACCGGAUAGGAGCUCCUGCUGCACGGUGGGGGUUGGAAAGUUUCGGCUGUUGGGGAUGGACUCGCGGCUUAUCAGCUGGUUGGUGGGGUAGUGGCUUACCAAGGCUUUGACGGGUAGCCGGCCUGGGAGGGUGAACGGCGACAUGGGGACUGAGAGACGGCCCAGACUCCUACGGGAGGCAGUAGUGGGGAAUAUUGCACAAUGGGCGGAAGCCUGAUGCAGCAACGCCGCGUGCGGGAUGACGGCCUUCGGGUUGUAAACCGCUUUCGCCUGUGACGAAGCGUGAGUGACGGUAAUGGGUAAAGAAGCACCGGCUAACUACGUG